UACAGAGACGUCGAGCGUUGUUCGGAUUCAUUGGGCGUAAAGGGUGCGUAGGCGGUGAGGUAAGUUGGAUGUGAAAUCUCAGGGCCUAACCCUGAAAGUGCAUCCAAAACUGCCUUGCUUGAGGACUGGAGGGGAGACUGGAAUUCACAGUGGAGCAGUGAAAUGCGUAGAUAUUGUGAGGAACACUAGUGGCGAAGGCGAAUCUCUGGACAGUUCCUGACGCUGAGGCACGAAGGCCAGGGGAGCAAACGGG
rnacentral:rRNA from 1 species